CCCUCCAGGAACAAGAAAACCAAACACUGCAUUUCCUGCAAUAAGUGUGUGUCCGGCUUCGACCACCACUGCAAAUGGAUCAACAACUGCGUGGGAAGCCGGAAUUAUUGGUUCUUCUUCAGCACUGUGGCCUCGGCCACAGCUGGCAUGCUCUGCCUGAUCGCCAUCCUGCUGUAUGUCCUCGUCCAGUACCUCGUGAACCCCGGGGUGCUCCGCACGGACCCCAGGUAUGAAGGUACGUGGCCGCCGCUCUCAAGGGGCCUCAUCCUCGCCUCCAGCCGUCUUUCCGGGUGGUAGUAUCGGGUCUGGGGUGGUCGGCCCCUCUUGUCCCAGGGAGAGGCCGGGGCAGGCAGCCCCAUGCAGGCUCUGACCUGGCCCGACGGCAGCAGCCCAGUGUUCAUACAGCCCAGCAGCCCCCAGCGCGCGGGAGGCAGGCUCGGGGAGGGCGCUGGCCACGCUGCUCUGUAGAUGCUGCCAGGUCGUGUCAGGCGAG
rnacentral:lncRNA from 1 species